AGGUUAAGUUAUUAAGGGCGCAUGGCGAAUGCCUUGGCACUAGAAGCCGAUGAAGGACGGCACUAACACCGAUAUGCUUCGGGGAGCUGUAAGUAAGCUUUGAUCCGGAGAUUUCCGAAUGGGGGAACCCACUGUUUUUAAUAGGACAGUAUCUUAACGUGAAUUCAUAGCGUUCUGAUGGCAGACUCAGGGAACUGAAACAUCUAAGUACCUGAAGGAAGAGAAAGAAAAAUCGAUUCCCUUAGUAGCGGCGAGCGAAACGGGAAGAGCCCAAACCAAGAAGCUUGCUUCUUGGGGUUGUAGGACACUCUACACGGAGUUACAAAAGAAUGAAUUAGACGAAGCGGCAUGGAAAGGCCCACCAUAGAAGGUAACAGUCCUGUAAUCAAAAGUUUAUUCCCUCCAGAGUGGAUCCUGAGUACGGCGGAACACGUGAAAUUCCGUCGGAAUCUGGGAGGACCAUCUCCCAAGGCUAAAUACUCUCUAGUGACCGAUAGUGAACCAGUACCGUGAGGGAAAGGUGAAAAGCACCCCGGAAGGGGAGUGAAAUAGAUCCUGAAACCAUGUGCCUACAAGUAGUUAGAGCCCGUUAAUGGGUGAUAGCGUGCCUUUUGUAGAAUGAACCGGCGAGUUACGAUUACAUGCAAGGUUAAGCUGAUAAGGCGGAGCCGCAGCGAAAGCGAGUCUGAAUAGGGCGAAUGAGUAUGUGGUUGUAGACCCGAAACCAGGUGAUCUACCCAUGUCCAGGUUGAAGGUAAGGUAACACUUACUGGAGGACCGAACCCACGUACGUUGAAAAGUGCGGGGAUGAGGUGUGGGUAGCGGAGAAAUUCCAAUCGAACCUGGAGAUAGCUGGUUCUCUCCGAAAUAGCUUUAGGGCUAGCCUCGUGUUUAAGAAUCUUGGAGGUAGAGCACUGUUUGGACUAGGGGUUCAUCCCGAAUUACCGAAUUCAGACAAACUCCGAAUGCCAAUGAUUUAUACACGGGAGUCAGACUGCGAGUGAUAAGAUCCGUAGUCAAGAGGGAAACAGCCCAGACCACCAGCUAAGGUCCCAAAGUAAUCGUUAAGUGGAAAAGGAUGUGACGUUGCUUAGACAACCAGGAUGUUGGCUCAGAAGCAGCCAUCAUUUAAAGAGUGCGUAAUAGCUCACUGGUCGAGUGACGCUGCGCCGAAAAUGUAUCGGGGCUAAACGAUUCACCGAAGCUGUGGAUGGACAUCUUAGAUGUCCGUGGUAGGAGAGCGUUCUAAGUGCUGUGAAGUCAGACCGGAAGGACUGGUGGAGCGCUUAGAAGUGAGAAUGCCGGUAUGAGUAGCGAAAGACGGGUGAGAAUCCCGUCCACCGAAUGACUAAGGUUUCCUGAGGAAGGCUCGUCCGCUCAGGGUUAGUCGGGACCUAAGCCGAGGCCGAUAGGCGUAGGCGAUGGAUAACAGGUUGAUAUUCCUGUACCACCAAUCUACCAUUUGAGUGAUGGGGGGACGCAGUAGGAUAGGGUAAGCGCGCUGUUGGUUAUGCGCGUCCAAGCAGUAAGGUGUGGAAGUAGGCAAAUCCGCUUCCUGUAACAUUGAGCUGUGAUGGCGAGUCAAUUAUGACGAAGUUCCUGAUUUCACACUGCCAAGAAAAGCCUCUAGCGAGGUAGAUAGGUGCCCGUACCGCAAACCGACACAGGUAGUCGAGGAGAGAAUCCUAAGGUGAGCGAGAGAACUCUCGUUAAGGAACUCGGCAAAAUGACCCCGUAACUUCGGGAGAAGGGGUGCUCUAGUAGGGUGAAAGCCCGAGAGAGCCGCAGUGAAUAGGCCCAGGCGACUGUUUAGCAAAAACACAGGUCUCUGCAAAAUCGUAAGAUGACGUAUAGGGGCUGACGCCUGCCCGGUGCUGGAAGGUUAAGGGGAUUGCUUAGCGUAAGCGAAGGUGAGAACCGAAGCCCCAGUAAACGGCGGCCGUAACUAUAACGGUCCUAAGGUAGCGAAAUUCCUUGUCGGGUAAGUUCCGACCCGCACGAAAGGCGUAACGAUCUGGGCACUGUCUCAACGAGAGACUCGGUGAAAUUAUAGUACCUGUGAAGAUGCAGGUUACCCGCGACAGGACGGAAAGACCCCGUGGAGCUUUACUGUAGCCUGAUAUUGAAUUUUGGUACACUUUGUACAGGAUAGGUAGGAGCCUGAGAGACCGGAGCGCUAGCUUCGGUGGAGGCGUUGUUGGGAUACUACCCUAAGUGUAUUGAACUUCUAACCCUUACCCCUGAUCGGGGUAGGAGACAGUGUCAGGCGGACAGUUUGACUGGGGCGGUCGCCUCCUAAAAGGUAACGGAGGCGCCCAAAGGUUCCCUCAGAAUGGUUGGAAAUCAUUCGCAGAGUGUAAAGGCACAAGGGAGCUUGACUGCGAGACCUACAAGUCGAGCAGGGUCGAAAGACGGGCUUAGUGAUCCGGUGGUUCCGCAUGGAAGGGCCAUCGCUCAACGGAUAAAAGCUACCCCGGGGAUAACAGGCUUAUCUCCCCCAAGAGUCCACAUCGACGGGGAGGUUUGGCACCUCGAUGUCGGCUCAUCGCAUCCUGGGGCUGUAGUCGGUCCCAAGGGUUGGGCUGUUCGCCCAUUAAAGCGGUACGCGAGCUGGGUUCAGAACGUCGUGAGACAGUUCGGUCCCUAUCCGUCGUGGGCGUAGGAAAUUUGAGAGGAGCUGUCCUUAGUACGAGAGGACCGGGAUGGACAUACCUCUGGUGUACCAGUUGUCUUGCCAAAGGCAUCGCUGGGUAGCUAUGUAUGGACGGGAUAAGUGCUGAAAGCAUCUAAGCAUGAAGCCCCCCUCAAGAUGAGAUUUCCCAUUACGCAAGUAAGUAAGAUCCCUUGAAGACGACAAGGUAGAUAGGUUCGAGGUGGAAGUAUGGUGACAUAUGGAGCUGACGAAUACUAAUAGAUCGAGGACUUAACCACAA
rnacentral:rRNA from 1 species